rnacentral:rRNA from 1 species
AACGUAGGAGACAAACGUUAUCCGGAUUUAUUGGGCGUAAAGAGCGUGUAGGCGGCCAGAUAGGUCUGCUGUGAAAACUCGAGGCUCAACCUCGAGAUGUCGGCGGAAACCAUUUGGCUAGAGUCCGGAAGAGGAAAGUGGAAUUCCUGGUGUAGCGGUGAAAUGCGCAGAUAUCAGGAAGAACACCCGUGGCGAAGGCGGCUUUCUGGGACGGUACUGACGCUGAGACGCGAAAGCGUGGGGAGCGAACAGG